rnacentral:rRNA from 1 species
AGUGAACGCUGGCGGUAGGCCUAACACAUGCAAGUCGAACGGCAGCACAGUAAGAGCUUGCUCUUACGGGUGGCGAGUGGCGGACGGGUGAGGAAUACAUCGGAAUCUACUUUUUCGUGGGGGAUAACGUAGGGAAACUUACGCUAAUACCGCAUACGACCUACGGGUGAAAGCAGGGGAUCUUCGGACCUUGCGCGAUUGAAUGAGCCGAUGUCGGUUUAGCUAGUUGGCGGGGUAAAGGCCCACCAAGGCGACGAUCCGUAGCUGGUCUGAGAGGAUGGUCAGCCACCCUGGAAGUGAGACACGGUCCAGACUCCUGCGGGAGGCCGCAGUGGGGUAUAUGGGACAAUAGGCGCAAGCCUGAUCCAGCCGUACCGCGUGGGUGAAGAAGGCCUUCGGGUUGUAAAGCCCUUUUGUUGGGAAAGAACAGCAGCAGGUUAAUACCCAGCUGUUCUGACGGUACCCAAUGAAUAAGCACCGGCUAACUUCGUG